UACAGAGGUCUCAAGCGUUGUUCGGAUUCAUUGGGCGUAAAGGGUGCGUAGGCGGCGCGGUAAGUCGGGGUGUGAAAUCUUGGAGCUUAACUCCGAAACUGCAUUCGAUACUGCCGUGCUUGAGGACUGGAGAGGAGACUGGAAUUUACGGUGUAGCGGUGAAAAUGCGUAGAUAUCUGGAGGAAUACCGGUGGCGAAGGCGGCAUCCUGGACCAUUACUGACGCUGAGGCGCGAAAAGCUAGGGGGAGCAAACGGGG
rnacentral:rRNA from 1 species